GUCGCGGUGGCCGAGUGGUCUAAGGCGGUUGGGCUGGUACCCCAUCUAGAGGAAACUCUGCGCAGGUUCGAAUCCUGCCCGUGGCG
rnacentral:tRNA from 1 species